rnacentral:rRNA from 1 species
GACGAACGCUGGCGGCGUGCCUAAUACAUGCAAGUCGAACGAAGAGCCGAGGAGCUUUCUUCUCUUCAAUUAUCGUCGGGCACGUGAGUGUCACGUGGAAACCCCCCGUCUAUCACUGGGGUACAUCCGUUGGACCCGACCUCUUACACGACAAUCGUUUUAACCUCGGCAUUCAAAAGUGAUAAACGGUCGUCCUUUCACGUAUGCAAUGAUCCGCGCUGGAUUAGCUAGUUGGUAAGGUAACGGCUCACCAAGGCGACGAUGAAUAGCCGACCUGAGAGGGUGAUCGGCCACACUGGAACUGAGACACGGCCCAGACUCCUACGGGAGGCAGCAGUAGGGAAUCUUCCGCAAUGGGCGAAAGUCUGACGGAGCAACGCCGCGUGAGUGAUGACGGCCUUCGGAUUGUAAAACUCUGUUAUUAGGGAAGAAAAGAUGUGUAAGUAACAGUGAAAAGCUUGACGGUACCCAAUAAGAAAGGCAAGGGUAACUACCGG